UCUAGAUCAAUACCUUUCAUCUCAAUCUG
rnacentral:piRNA from 1 species